GACUUUUAGUAUUUUUUGAUUGAGUUGAGACACGAUUGAAGGGUGACACAAAUUCAAUCUACCCCUAAUAUAACUAGUUUAUAACACACCCAUUGUAAAGCCCAUAUUUUGCCCGGGCCCAAACCAGGAUAACAAGCCAAAAAAAUAAAAAUUAUAGUCCAUUACAAAUGGCCCAACUGACCCAAAAAAAUAAAGCCCGAUAAGCCCAAAAAUUAAACAUAAUCAGAGAAAACCUAGGGUUUCAUUAACCCUCUCGCACCGUAGCCCCUACUGCCCAUGUGCUACUCCCUCGGGCGUACCAUCCGCGCCUCGUCCCGAGGCUUACCUGGCACCCCAGCCAAGCCUUGCACCAAAACGGCAAGCCACUCUUCCGCCUUCACCAAAGACCUGCAAACAAACACGAAAGAAGAAACAAGCAGCAAGAACAGAGGAAGAAACAGUAAUAGAAAUAGAAAAAAGUGUAAAAUCGGCUAUAAAGGCCGCAAAAAAUGAAAAGAGGGGGGGCUUCUUCUUUUUUUCAACGAGAUCAAUACAGAAGCAAAUAAUAAAAACAAAAAAAGGUUGACUCCAAUUUUUUUUUCGGUUCUUGCAUUUUUGGUUUAUUUUAUUUUAUUUUUGUUGUUGUUUGUUUUCUACCUUGUUAACAAAAAGGAAAAAGAAGGGAAAGGAAGCACUUACCGGUCUCGAAAGCCGUCGCCGGAGACUUUCGGUGUUGGAAUCGGACGGAAAAGGAAGUGAAAGAUCCCUCCUUUUUUUGGCUUUUUCGAUCAAGAGAAUAGGGCCUCUGAUCUAGAUCUAAAAUGGGGUCCAAAAGACCGAUCUUUGCCUAGAUCCGACCACCGCCUGCGGCGGCGCGGCCGUUCGCCGGUGGUGACCAUGGCCGGAGGAGGGGAAAGGUUUUUUUUUUUUUUAAAAGGAAGGGUUCUGUUUUUUUGUUUUAAAACAGUGACAAAAAUGAAUUUUUUUUUAAAAAAAUUGGGUUUAAAUAAACCUUUAAAACGGCGCCGUUUUGCCCUUAGGGGUCAGGUGCCAAAACGACGCCGUUUUGGCCCUGACCUGCGCGGUGACCCGACCCUGGGGAGGAUCCGCGUGUUUUGACUCUUGGGUUAUUUACGCCAUAGGUCCCUCUUCCUUUGUUGCGUAUUCGAUGCGGUUUUUUUUAUUUUUUAUUUUGGCCAUAUAAUUUUUCCUUUGUUUUAAUUUGGUCCUGACCAUGUGUAUGCACUGGAUUGGAACGGCACCGUUUGACCAACGCGGGGAAAUUUCCCUUUUGGUCCCUUCUCUUUUGCGCGGCUUUCCAUUUAAUCAUUUUUUAUUAUUUCGAGCCCAAAGUUUAAUUUCGUUUCCAAUCUAAUCCUAUUUUGUUGUUU
rnacentral:lncRNA from 1 species